rnacentral:lncRNA from 1 species
GGGAAAUUUAAAAGCGCACAUUUAAUCUUACUUAGUUCAUUUGGAAACAUUUCAGGGAAGCAGAUCUACUGUGGAAAUAGACGUCACUACCUCCAGUGGACAGUGCAGCCUCAAAUGAACAGUGUAAUUGGCUCGGCCAGGAGGCUGCUCUGCUCUGUACUUGCCUGAGCAGGGCUAUGACUUCUCCUGCAGUCAUGGCUGCCAUCACGAACCCUCUGGGACCAGAGGUGCUGCUGGGGUUACAGGCCAGUCGUCACACCUAUCUGGCUUCUACAUGGGUUCUAGGGAUCUGAACUCACCACGUGAAGCACUUUAUCUUGGAAGCCCUUGACUGAGUGAGACCAACGCCCUGGCACUUCUCACAGAUUUUGCUUGAGUUUCUUCCAUACGUGGGCACAAAUGCCUGUAAGUAUAAACAGUAGCCAUCACGCCUUGCAGUGUGCUGUAUGUCUCUUUGCUGGUCUCUGCUUAUUUCCUCUAGAGUUCAUCCACCC